rnacentral:rRNA from 1 species
GAUGAACGCUGGCGGCGUGCCUAAUACAUGCAAGUAGAACGCUGAAGCUUGGUGCUUGCACCGAGCGGAUGAGUUGCGAACGGGUGAGUAACGCGUAGGUAACCUGCCUCUUAGCGGGGGAUAACUAUUGGAAACGAUAGCUAAUACCGCAUAAAAGUCGAUAUCGCAUGAUAUUGAUUUGAAAGGUGCAAAUGCAUCACUAAGAGAUGGACCUGCGUUGUAUUAGCUAGUUGGUGAGGUAACGGCUCACCAAGGCGACGAUACAUAGCCGACCUGAGAGGGUGAGCGGCCACACUGGGACUGAGACACGGCCCAGACUCCUACGGGAGGCAGCAGUAGGGAAUCUUCGGCAAUGGGGGCAACCCUGACCGAGCAACGCCGCGUGAGUGAAGAAGGUUGUCGGAUCGUAAAGCUCGGUUGUAAGAGAAGAACGAGUGUGAGAGUGGAAAGUUCACACUGUGACGGUAACUUACCAGAAAGGGACGGCUAACUACGUG